rnacentral:rRNA from 1 species
AACGAACGCUGGCGGCGUGCCUAACACAUGCAAGUCGAACGAGAAAGGGGCUUCUGCUCCGCGUAAAGUGGCGCACGGGUGAGUAACACGUGGGUAACCUGCCUCUAAGAUUGGGAUAACUCGUCGAAAGAUGAGCUAAUACCGAAUAAGACCACAGUUCCCGCGGGAACAGGGGUUAAAGGUAGCCUCUGCUUGCAAGCUAUCACUUAGAGAUGGGCCUGCGCACCAUAGCUAGUUGGUAGGGUAACGGCCUACCAAGGCAAAGAUGGGUAGCUGGACUGAGAGGAUGAUCAGCCAAACUGGAACUGAGACACGGUCCAGACGCCUAGGGGAGGCAGCAGGGGGGAAUAUUGCGCAAGGGGCGAAAGAUUGAAGCAGCAACGCCGCGUGAGUGAGGAAGGCCGUCGGGUCGGAAAGCUCGGUCGGGAGGAACGAAUGCUCCUGAGGUUAACAGCCUCGGGAGGUGACGGUACCUUCAAAAGAAGCACCGGCUAACUCUGUG